rnacentral:rRNA from 1 species
UACGAGGGGGGCGAGCGUUGUUCGGAAUUACUGGGCGUAAAGCGUGCGCAGGCGGUUUGUUAAGUCUGUUGUGAAAUCCCCGAGCUCAACUUGGGAAUUGCAAUGGAUACUGGCAGGCUGGAGUAUGGUAGAGGAAGGUGGAAUUCCCGGUGUAGCAGUGAAAUGCGUAGAGAUCGGGAGGAACACCAGUGGCGAAGGCGGCCUUCUGGACCAAUACUGACGCUCAUGCACGAAAGCGUGGGGAGCAAACAGG